AUGGGACUGCGGCCGAUCAGGCUGUUGGUGGGGUAAAGGCCCACCAAACCAGUAACCGGUACGGGCUUUGAGAGAAGGAGCCCGGAGAUGGACACUGAGACAAGGGUCCAGGUCCUACGGGGCGCAGCAGGCGCGAAACCUUCGCAAUGCGCGCAAGCGCGACGAGGUUAUUCUGAGUGAUUCCCGCUGAGGGAAUCUUUUCUCAGAUCUAAAAAGUCUGGGGAAUAAGGGGAGGGCAAGUCUGGUGUCAGCCGCCGCGGUAAUACCAGCUCCUCGAGUGGUCAGGGCGUUUAUUGGGCCUAAAGCAUCCGUAGCCUGCUCAGUAGGUCUCCUGUUGAAUCCAACGGCUCAACCGUUGGUCUGCAGGAGAUACCGCUGGGCUAGGAGGCGGGAGAGGCGGACGGUACUCCGAGGGUAGGGGUAAAAUCCUUUGAUCCCCGGAAGACCACCAGU
rnacentral:rRNA from 1 species